GACGAACGCUGGCGGCGUGCUUAACACAUGCAAGUCGAACGGUGAAGCGCCUUCCUUUUUGGUGGGUGUGGAUGAGUGGCGAACGGGUGAGUAACACGUGAGUAACCUGCCCCCUUCUUCUGGAUAACCGCAUGAAAGUGUGGCUAAUACGGGAUAUUCUGGGUCUGUCGCAUGAUGGGUCUGGGAAAGAUAUUGUUUCGGUGGGGGAUGGGCUCGCGGCCUAUCAGCUUGUUGGUGGGGUGAUGGCCUACCAAGGCGGUGACGGGUAGCCGGCCUGAGAGGGUGGCGGGACCAAGGGGAAUGGGGACCCGGCCGGGACCCGAAGGGGGGGCAGCGGGGGGGGAUAGUGCAAAGGGGGGACAAGCCGGAUGCGGGCGCGCGGGGGGGGGGGGGGGGGCCUUUGGGGUGGGACCCUCUUUGGGCGGUAAAGGGGGCCGGCCUGGUUUGGGGGGGGGUUGACGGUAGUGGGAAAAAAAGCCCGGCUAAAUUAGGG
rnacentral:rRNA from 1 species